GCUGUUGAAAAUCAGUAACUUUCUUUAGUGGCUCCAGCUGUAAUAGCUGUAAUUAAUGCAGCGGGCAGAGUUGUUGGAAGCUGUGACUCCAUCCCGGUGCUCUUUCCCUCUGUAUUCACCAUUCCUGCCACUCCAGGCGACAUCCUGGGAAGCAGUAGUUCACACCAGGGUUUUCCUUGCUGCGUUCCCCUCUGGAUCAUCACGUUUGGGAUGAUUUAAAGGCCUGGGGUUAUCCUGCAGUUUCCUAUCGACUGAAGAUUUCUGCUGGAGUGUUGUUUCAUGGCUACUGGCUUUCUUGUCCGAGCUGUUCAAUCUCAGAGCCAAACCAGAAGGAUGUGAAGAAGAUCUAGGAAUAUAUGGUCUAUCACAUUCCUCAUUAAGAAUGCCAGAAUGACAUGAAGUUUCAAGACAGAACUGGUCACCGAGGAAAAUGCGGGAAAAUCUCAGCCUGGAGGACCAGUAUCAAAGGGGCAUCUCUCUGUGGUUCAGGUUGGCAUCAAAGCCUGAAACAAGCCUGGGAUAUCACAUGCUUUUUUGCCACGAGGCUGUAAUUUUAUCCA